UACGUAGGAGACAAACGUUAUCCGGAGUUACUGGGCGUAAAGGGCGUGUAGGCGGUUCGUUAAGUCUGGCGUGAAAGCUCUCGGCUAAACCGGGAGAGGUCGUUGGAUACUGGCAAACUAGAGGACGGUAGAGGCGUGUGGAAUUCCGGGUGUAGUGGUGAAAUGCGUAGAGAUCCGGAGGAACACCAGUGGCGAAGGCGACACGCUGGGCCGUACCUGACGCUAAAGCGCGACAGCAUGGGGAGCAAACGGG
rnacentral:rRNA from 1 species